rnacentral:rRNA from 1 species
AGGAUGAACGCUGGCGGCGUGCCUAAUACAUGCAAGUCGAGCGGUAAGGCCACUUCGGUGGUACACGAGCGGCGGACGGCUGAGUAACACGUAGGAACGUACCCCAAAGUGAGGCAUAAGCACCAGAAAUGGUGUCUAAUACCGCAUGUGGCCUAACAGGCUAAAGCUCCGGCGCUUUGGGAACGGCCUGCGCAUGAUUAGCUUGUUGGUGAGGUAAAAGCUCACCAAGGCAGUGAUCAUUAGCUGGUCUGAGAGGAUGACCAGCCAGACUGGGACUGAGAACGGCCCAGACUCCUACGGGAGGCAGCAGUAGGGAAUUUUUCCACAAUGGGCGAAAGCCUGAUGGAGCAACGCCGCGUGCAGGAUGAAGGCUCUAGGGUCGUAAACUGCUUUUAUCUGUGACGAAUAUGACGGUAGCAGAUGAAUAAGGAUCGGCUAACUCCGUGCCAGCAGCCGC